rnacentral:lncRNA from 1 species
AGUAGAAAAGUCUUAACUCAACUCAGUGAUUUCUAAACGGUGCUGCUCUUAAAAGCUCUGCACCUGCAGCUAGGAUCUGAACACUCCUGGGAAAAAGGUCCACUUCUGGCAGUGAAUCGAGGUGACAACAGGCAGGAGGCUGCUUGGUCAUCAGUACAAGCUGCUCUUAAAGGGACACCAGGAGCUUCUCUGUUUCUCUGGAAGGCUGGAAGCACAGGCCUGAUCUUGAGUGUCUGAAAGAACAGCAACUAAUGGUGUCCAAGACCAAGAGACCCUUGAGGAGCUUGUCCUUGACUGUCACAUUCUUUUUGUAAGAUGCAGGUUGACAGCAGACUCAACUCUGGAAUGUAUGCUUUGGAGAUGGGUUUAAAGACUUGGACUCUGUCUUCGAUCCCGAAGCAACCCUGCAGCUUGAUUACAGGCCCUCUUAGCCUCAAAUCCGCAUUGGUGCUGUAGGACGCAAGACCCACGCAGGUUCCACAGCAGUCCUGCUGAGAUGUGAGGACGUUACAGUCAUCAGCAAGCCAAGUAAAAGAUCUGCUUUGUACCCUGGAGCAAACCCCAAUCCCCUUGCUUUAAAUCCUGGAGACAGUCUAGUUCAACCAUGAACCACCCAUAAAGGAAGAAAUCCACCCUGCAACUCCCACACAGAAAGACACAGAAGGCUCCCUCCCGGGCCUCAGAUUAGGCACAAACCACACCCAAACACCUGUUUCACUGAGAUUCUUUCUUAAGCAGGGGAGAAAAGUUAAAAGUGGCUGCUUUCAGAACCCAUGUCUGCUGGACCUCUCAUGAGGCCCACCAAACGGAGACGUCAUCCAGCAGCCAUGAGACUGGUUCUGAGAACAUCUGACUGGGAUCUCAAGACAAGCCCACCAGCUCAGAGAUUUAAGAGAAGACCUCACAAGGCUAAAAACACUUUCUAAGGAAUGGCAGAAGUGUUUGUUCCUCCAAACACAUGGAUCAAUGCAAGGAUGUGCUAAAUCAAAAGGAAUCUGGCAAACUGAACACUGGUAAAGAAACCGAACAAGGCUGGGACAGCUCACCACAGAAAUUAGAGACCUGUGAGUUGUAGGAAGGAGAAUUCAAAAUGCUCACAUUACAGAAGCUCAAUGAGGUGGAAGGGAACACACUUAAGAAGAAAAGUAAAGGAAUUGGAUGGGAAAAUAAACAUAUUUAUCCUUCAAUAAAAUAUAAACAUUUUUUCCAGAGACAAUCAUAGGCAGAAAUUGUAAAGUAUGAGAUUGUAACUUAAUUUGUAUAGAAAUUAAUUUAUGUAUUGAGUUAGAAUUUAUACAGAAUUUGAAAAAAAUGACAUAGAUCACUUCGGUCAAUAAGCUGUCAUUGUGCUGUGAAUUUUACCGUAUUCACAAUAAAAUUACGGUCCAUCAUUCAGAUAACUGGAAGGUAUAGCAGACAAUAGAAUGCAUGAGGGUAACGAACAAAAGAAUAUAUGGAUGCUUUCAUAUCUCUAGUCAAUCUAGUGAUAGAUGAUGUCCUUCCCAAAACCAGCCAACAGAACACAGAGGCCCCCAAAUAAGAAACGAUGGGAAAAUAAACAGCAAGAAUGAUGGGAUUUCUAUAGAAAGUGGUGAAGACUCACACACCAGGCUUCUAGAACUACUAAUCUGAUGAAUUUAUAGGGUGCAAACUUAAACUAUAUAAAGCAGUGGUAUUUCUAUGCGCUAUGAACAAAAUUACCUAAAUAAACAAAAGGAAAAAAGAAGAAAACCAAGAAAAUAACUUCAUUCAUAGUAGUUUAAGAUAAAAUAAAAUACUUAAAAAAACAUCAAUUUAACUACAGAGGUAGCAGACCUGUGUACUGUAUAAAUAAAAUAUUGGUGGAAAAAACCCAGAAGAUGGGUAAAUAGAAAUAUAUCCUAGGUUUAUAGAUCUGGAGAUUAUUAUUGUUAAAAUUUUCAUAGUAUAUACAGUGUUUUGCAGAUUUAAUGUAAUACUUCCAAUUCAAAAUUCUUAUCAACUUCUGUGACCAUGACUACCUAAGGCAACUUUGAGCAAAAAGAGCAAAGCUAAAAUCAUUGUAGUAAUGAACUUUAAUUCUGCAGAACUUUAGUGAUCAAACAAAUGUAAGCAGACUUGAUAAUAGAUGUACACAUGAGUGGAAGCAAAUGGAGAUGUUAGAAAUAAACUUAUAUAUCCCCAGUCAGUUUAGCCCAACUGACAAACCCAAGAAAAGAGAAUAGAUCUGAAGUGUCUCAACACACACACACACACACACACACACACACACGGAGAGCAAUUAUAUAAAAUGAUAUAUAUGCUAAUUAGCUUGAUUGUAGUAGUCCACAGUGUAUAUCUGUAUUAAAAUAUAUUGUAUAUACCCUUCACAUAUACAGUAUAUAAAUUUAUCAGUUAUACUUCAACAACACUGAAAAGUUUCAAAGUAAACCCAACACUAAAUAUAAACUUAACUAAACCCAAAUCUCUCAAUGGCUUACAGGUGUAGGGUGGCCAUUGCUGCAAAUUCUGGGUUCUAUAUUACACUUUUCACUGUCCUUGGUUGCUCUCUCAGCCCUCAUAUCCUGCUUUAAGUGUGCUACAACAACAAGACACAGGCUAAAAGGUUUAAACCACAGGAUGUAUUGUCUCACAGUUAUGAAGGUUAGCCACACGAUGCAGGUAUAGGCAUGGGUGGUUCCUUCUGAGGCUGUGAGGUUAGGCUCCAAGGCCCCUCUCAGCUGAUGGAUGUUCAUCUUCAUGUCCACAUGGUAUUUUCUUGUAUGUGCCUGGUUCUGUGUUUAGAUUUCUCUUCUUGAUUAAGACAUCAUUCAUACUGGGUAAAGAAGCCCUCUUUUCAGAUGACCAGUAUAAACACACCAGGGAAUGGAGCCAAUUUCUGGGUUUCUCAGUGGCCCAUCAUGGCAUCAGCGGCCUCCUCAGUGUCCCCCCUCCCCAAAGGGUAGGGAUGGCAGUAGAAUUGUUUGUGAGUGUCAGAGACAAGAAACCUGCCCAAAUGCAUGAAACCAGUGUGUUAAGAUGAGAAACUGAAGUCACUAUCGUAAAUCAUCCCUUGAGACACAGUAAGAUGCCAGUGUUCCUUAAUCUUCUGCUGUCUGUUUCCCUUGGUACCUCUAUGCCUAUAGUUUAAAUUGAAUGGGGGAGAAAGAAGCUUUAUUUUAUAUAAAAGUUUGAAUUUAUCAUUAGUGACCCCCCCAUGUUCAGGUGCAUGUCACUAUGUGCCUAUGGAUGUGGGUGUUCAUAGGACAACUCUCCAGGCUUGGUUCUUGCUUCUCACCUCAUCCAGGCAGGUACUUGCCUGUUUCUGCCAGGCUAGGUGGCUGGUGAGCUCCAGGGUUAUCCUCUUUCUCAUCCUUUAACAAGAGUGCUGGAAUUACAUUUGUACACCCCAGACAGGUUUUAUGUGGAUUUGGGGGAUGGUUGUUAGGCUUACCCGGUAGGCACUUUUAAGGGCUGAGCCUUACCGCCAACCUUAUUUGUUAAACAGUCCCCUCAAAGCACAGAAUGACAUCCAGAGCUAAAAGCCACUUCUUGGCAGCUGAAUAAAUAAAAGAGAAGACUUGAGUGCCUCCAGGUGGUCAGACUAGCUGUUAGUCAAUGUCCUUGAGCCUCGAUGCCUUUCCCUCUGGAUUAGCCUGGGUUCUGCCUGAGAACCUUACAACAGUGAUAAGGCAGGCAAUCUGAAUUCAGACACACUCCUGCCCUGGACAAUUGAAAUCUUUGUCUGAUGGAGAACUUGGAAACUAGCAGGCUCAUGUAAACUAGACGAGCAAGCCAAGGUAGACCAUGGAAUUGAGGGAAAAGAGUGAUUUCUAGAAAAUUGUGCCUUCAUACUAUUUACUCUCACCAUUCCGCGAUUGGCCCUGGAACAGCACAGAGCUGGCUUGUCAACGUAUGGGCUUUCCUGGGGCCCUGUUCCACCCAGUUGCCAGGAAAUGAAGAAAUAAUGAACGGUCUUGGAGGCCAGAGGGAGCUCCAGUAGGGAGCUCAUGGGCAGUGUGUCCCACUAAGAAGGAAGACCAAUUCCGCCUCCCACCAACUGGACCCCUCCAGACUCACCUCCCUCUUGAUACUGUCAGAAAGAGGCACCAAACACUGACAUCCUGAUUUUAGGUGGGGAGAACUGACAGUGGGUAAUGGCUUACGACAUUACUCUAGCUUCUGGAACAUUCUUCAUCAUAAUAUUUUUGCAAAGGUAAAUAAAUGACAGAACAAGC